UGCCUCUUAGGGUCACACCUGGAGAGUUUCCAGUACUCUAAAAGUCUUGACAACAGGGGGGAAAGUCAAGCAGAGGCCUACCCAUUCCGUUCCUAGCUUGGACAGUGGCUAGUGAUUGGAAAGCAAUCAGCUACAAGU